rnacentral:lncRNA from 1 species
UCCAAAUAAUUACCUCAAAUUACUAUCAGAACCAGUUCACCACAACCUACCAAUAACCAAAGUUAAAACUAGUUAAUUGUUUUUCAAUUUCAAAUUCCAUUUAACAGACUAGCUAACGGAUGUGUAACCUCUAACCAACUUGAACCCUGUGAAUCUAACAGAGUUAAACUCUGUUAAGAGCUUCAAGCCUAUAAAGCCCAUUAGUCGUCGGAGAUUGAGUCUCUCGGUUCUUCUCAGACUCAGACCAAAAUCACCCAACCUUUUUUUGCAUUUCACUCGCCUUCGAUCUCAAGAGCUCACUGAAACAAAAACGGAAACGGAAAGCCGAGAAAGAAGAGCAAUUGAGAAGAAGAGAUAAGAGAAUGAAAUUCUCUCCAUAACAAAAGGAAUGGGAAGAAGAAUGAAAUAGGAGAAGAAUAUCCUAGAGCAUACCUGAGAGCCGCGUUUGUUGACGCCAUCGUUGCGUCCAUCGUCUUCUCCGACGAGUCUGUUGGCUACUUUUAUCCAUAUCGAAAUUCAAGGUUCAUUCUGAGGCGUACAUUACAUCAGUAAGCUUCGUGAUUUCACCAAUCACACGGAUGAUUCGGAACACGUGAGCAUCAAAAUCCUAAGUGCAAAAAAGCAACGAAGAAGAUUGAAGCGGAAGAAUAAUAGGAGAGAAGAGCAGCGAGUAUUCCGUACCAGAACAAUAUCCAAACACCGUUCGCCCUGUGCUUCAUCGUCGACGUCGAAGGUGCAUAUAAACUCUCCUAUUUUUGACUCGCAUUUGUUACCGUUAUAUAGGACUUGAUUAGAUGAGCGAUGAUACCAAACUUGUAGACUCUAUUACCUUUAUAUGAGGAUCGGAUUGUGAAUUUUUGUUUGAGACUCGUGAGAGAUUUCGAUUCGGUUCGUAUGUUUAGGGAGGAAUUAGGAGAUAUUGUCUGAGGAUUUGGAAUUGAGAGUUUGAGACGGUAGUGACGAGGUGAGCAUGAGGCGUUCAGGAGCUUCACCGUCGCCGGCGAUAAGCUCCGGCACGACGGAGUCGUUUAGGUGUGUGUCGCGUUUCUUUCGAAUGGGAGUCACUCACCGGAAGAUGAACUUGAGGGAUGUACAUCCCGUUGCUGCUGUAUUGGAUUGAUUAGACCUUAGGUCCGAUCCUUCAGCGUCUAUUACCACACUCCCUCUAAUGCAGUACACCCCUCUGCUUAGGCUUAGGAUUGGAUUAGACCCAAUCUCCAUUGUUUUUUUGGAUUCAUAGCCUUGAUUGAUAUUUGUUUUGAUAUUAGAAUUUUGAUUGGAU